GGCUCUCCAGAUUUGCUGACCUAGAAGGAUAAGUCUGAAAGUAGGAGGGUGGGGAGAGCCAGAUGAACAAGGGAGGUGAAAACGUGAUCUAGGGAGGCAUCCGAGUGAGCAAAGGCACGAGUGAGCCUGGUACACUUCUGGGCAGGCAGAAGGAAGGCAGUUAGGCUGUUAGGAAGGCAGUUAGGCUGCAGUGAAUUCUACAAAGAGGCUAUGGGAAAGAAACCUGGAAAGUACCCUUGGCUGUGUACAUUUGAGUAAAGAGAGCACUAUAAAAUCAAAAACCAAUGAAAUGGUUUCCAGAACACAGAACUAUUAAGCUUAAGAAAAGGACAGAAGGAACUGAAGAGAGAGGAACUGUUUUGGAGCAUCACACUUCCACCUCAGAAGAAAUAAGGAAGGAAGGAGGAGGGUGUUCCCACGGCUCUUCAACCAGGCCGGCUCUUCAGCCUACAUCCCCAUCUCAUCAAGUAAAAGGGAUUUUUCAACUGGACCAACCAGAUGGUUUAACAGUGCACUCCCACACCAUUCAACUACGCAAGGGAGAUACACUUAACAUAUGCAGUCGUAUAACACCUACUAACAUUUUCAAACAUUAAACCUUUAAAAAAGAGUUCUAAAGAAAUAGAAGCUUGAAGUAUCAUCUCUCAAGUAUAUAGACACUACUUCAUGGUGUGGUAAUAUAUGCAUAUAGAAGCUAGUAAACACCUCCAGGAGAUGCAAAAGGAAUUAGAACUGCCACAAGGUGCAAGCAAAACCUUGAGGUGAGAAAAUCGAAUUUGGACACCGUUGAGGAGACUAUUGCAGUCAUCCAAGCUCAAGAUGGUGGAGCUUCAUCCUUGAGAAUAACCAAUGGGGAUAGAUUUAAGAGACACUUAGAGUCUGCAGCCAACAGGGCUGAAUGAGCAGAGAGUUAUGAUUCAGAAGAUCAUCUAAAAUUGAACAGCUGCCACUACUGGCAAUAAGUCUACUGCCAUUUGGUAGAUAACCUUCUUAUCACACAGAAAAAUAUCAGUACAGACAAAUAGACCGCAAAGAAAAUGAGACCAUCAGCAAAGAAGAUAAAGAAGUUUGUACAAAGCAACUUUUUAUAAAUGGAUGGCUGUCAGGCAAAAAUAAAUUUCCUGUGGACAAGACCAAGAGCAAGGCAAGAGGAAAAUAAACAUGUUUAAACUAUUGGAGAGUCCAUAAUUUAAAUAUAAA
rnacentral:lncRNA from 1 species